GAUGAACGCUGGCGGCGUGCCUAAUACAUGCAAGUCGAGCGAACAGAUGAGGAGCUUGCUCCUCUGACGUUAGCGGCGGACGGGUGAGUAACACGUGGAUAACCUACCUAUAAGACUGGGAUAACUUCGGGACACCGGAGCUAAUACCGGAUAAUAUAUUGAACCGCAUGGUUCAAUAGUGAAAGACGGUUUUGCUGUCACUUAUAGAUGGAUCCGCGCCGCAUUAGCUAGUUGGUAAGGUAACGGCUUACCAAGGCAACGAUGCGUAGCCGACCUGAGAGGGUGAUCGGCCACACUGGAACUGAGACGCGGUCCAGGCUCCUACGAGAGGCAGCAGUAGGGAAUCUGCCGCAAUGGGCGAAAGCCUGACGGAGCAACGCCGCGUGAGUGAUGAAGGUCUUCGGAUCGUAAAACUCUGUUAUUAGGGAAGAACAAAUGUGUAAGUAACUAUGCACGUCUUGACGGUACCUAAUCAGAAAGCCACGGCUAACUACGUG
rnacentral:rRNA from 1 species